UACAGAGGGUGCGAGCGUUGUCCGGAAUUAUUGGGCGUAAAGCGCGCGCAGGCGGCUUCUUAAGUCUGAUGUGAAAGCCCACGGCUCAACCGUGGAGGGUCAUUGGAAACUGGGAAGCUUGAGUGCAGAAGAGGAGAGUGGAAUUCCACGUGUAGCGGUGAAAUGCGUAGAUAUGUGGAGGAACACCAGUGGCGAAAGCGGCUCUCUGGUCUGUAACUGACGCUGAGGCGCGAAAGCGUGGGGAGCAAACAGG
rnacentral:rRNA from 1 species